CAGGUGCAGCUCUGGAGUGUGAAGUUUGUUCUGGGUUUGGCAAGAAUUGUACUGGAAGUAUGAAGACCUGUCUUCCUGACCAUGAUACCUGUGUCAUUGUCUUGGCUGAAAGUACUUUAGAAGGCAGGUUGGUUCAGACGAUAGCUAAGGGCUGUGAAACUUCUACUAUCUGCAAUUUCCCCGUCAGCCACAUGAAUAUGGGACAGGGAAAAGUCUUACAAACAAGUUUGGUCUGUUGCAGAGAGAAAACCUGACAAAAAGUUUAUCCUUGAUUAUUGCCCGUGGAGACAAAACUGAAUGGAAAACAGUGUCCUGCCUGUUACUCUUGGACAGUUCCAUGCAACCCCAUUGUUUUGAAUUGUACAGGAACAGAGGAAUACUGCUUUGAAGUUUCUACACGUUUCUAUGUUGGUGAAAGACUUAAAGACUUGAACAUGAAGGGCUGCACUACCAAGUCAGUGUGCAAUUCAAUAAAUCAUGGUGACACUCCCAGAUUGGAAAGUGGGGAGGCAGUUCUCUUAAAGGCCCGUUGUGAACUAGACCGUUCUAGUGGGUCUCAUUCCUCUGGACUACAACUGCUGACUUUCUUUGGACUCCUGCUCCUGAAGAUCCUCUCAUAAAAACACACCUAUCUGGAAAUUAACAUCCGCUCUGCCUUCAGUUCUACUUCCUUUCUC